UGCGGGGUGGAGCAGUCUGGAAGCUCGUCGGGCUCAUAACCCGAAGGUCGCUGGUUCGAAUCCAGCCCCCGCUACCA
rnacentral:tRNA from 1 species